rnacentral:rRNA from 1 species
GUGCCAGCAGCCGCGGUAAUACGUAGGGUGCGAGCGUUGUCCGGAAUUACUGGGCGUAAAGGGCUCGUAGGUGGUGUGUCGCGUCGUCUGUGAAAUUCCGGGGCUUAACUCCGGGCGUGCAGGCGAUACGGGCAUGCUUGAGUGCUGUAGGGGUAGCUGGAAUGCCUGGUGUAGCGGUGAAAUGCGCAGAUAUCAGGCAGAACGCCGAUGGCGAAGGCAGGUUACUGGGCAGUUACUGACGCUGAGGAGCGAAAGCAUGGGUAGCGAACAGGAUUAGAUACCCUGGUAGUCCAUGCCGUAAACGGUGGGCGCUAGGUGUGAGGCCCUUCCACGGGUUUCGUGCCGUAGCUAACGUGUUAAGCGCCCCGCCUGGGGAGUACGGCCGCAAGGCUAAAACUCAAAGGAAUUGACGGGGGCCCGCACAAGCGGCGGAGCAUGUGGAUUAAUUCGAUGCAACGCGAAGAACCUUACCUGGGCUUGACAUGCACUAGAUCGCCUCAGAGAUGGGGUUUCCCUUUGUGGUUGGUGUACAGGUGGUGCAUGGUUGUCGUCAGCUCGUGUCGUGAGAUGUUGGGUUAAGUCCCGCAACGAGCGCAACCCUUGUCCUAUGUUGCCAGCAUUUGGUUGGGGACUCAUGAGAGACUGCCGGGGUUAACUCGGAGGAAGGUGGGGAUGACGUCAAAUCAUCAUGCCCCUUAUGUCCAGGGCUUCACACAUGCUACAAUGGUCGGUACAACGCGUGGCGAUACUGUGAGGUGGAGCUAAUCGCUUGAAAGCCGGUCGUAGUUCGGAUUGGGGUCUGCAACUCGACCCCAUGAAGUCGGAGUCGCUAGUAAUCGCAGAUCAGCAAUGCUGCGGUGAAUACGUUCCCGGGCCUUGUACACACCGCCCGUCACGUCAUGAAAGUUGGUAACACCCGAAGCCGGUGGCCCAAACUUGUUAGGGAGCCGUCGAAGGUGGGAUCGGCGAUUGGGACGAAGUCGUAACAAGGUA